rnacentral:rRNA from 1 species
AGUGAACGCUGGCGGUAGGCCUAACACAUGCAAGUCGAACGGCAGCACAGUACUAGCUUGCUCUUACGGGUGCCGAGUGGCGGACGGGUGCUGAAUACAUCGGAAUCUACUUUUUCGAGGGGGCUAACAUAGGGACACUUACGCUAUUACCGCAUACGACCUACGGGUGAAAUCAUGGGAUCUUCGGACCUUGCGCGAUCGAAUGAGCCGAUGUCGGAUUAGCUAGUUGGCGGGGUAAAGGCCCACCAAGGCGACGAUCCGUAGCUGGUCUGAGAGGAUGAUCAGCCACACUGGAACUGAGACACGGUCCAGACUCCUACGGGAGGCAGCAGUGGGGAAUAUUGGACAAUGGGCGCAAGCCUGAUCCAGCCAUACCGCGUGGGUGAAGAAGGCCUUCGGGUUGUAAAGCCCUUUUGUUGGGAAAGAAAAGCAGCAGGUUAAUACCCCGCUGUUCUGACGGUACCAAAAGAAUAAGCACCGGCUAACUUCGUG